AGUUGUAGAAUCACUGGUGAAUAAGGGGUGGGCAAGUUCUGGUGUCAGCCGCCGCGGUAAAACCAGCACCUCGAGCGGUCAGGAGGUUUAUUGGGCCUAAAGCAUCCGUAGCCGGUUGCAUAAGUUUUCGGUUAAAUCUAUGCGCUUAACGUAUAGGCCGCCGAAAAUACUGUGCAGCUAGGGAGUGGGAGAGGUACACGGUACUCGAUAGGAAGGGGUAAAAUCCUUUGAUCUAUUGAUGACCACCUGUGGCGAAGGCGGUGUACCAGAACACGUUCGACGGUGAGGGAUGAAAGCUGGGGGAGCAAACCGGAUUAGAUACCCGGGUAGUCCCAGCUGUAAACGAUGCAGACUCGGUGAUGCAUUGGCUUGUGGCCAAUGCAGUGCCGCAGGGAAGCCGUUAAGUCUGCCGCCUGGGAAGUACGUACGCAAGUAUGAAACUUAAAGGAAUUGGCGGGGGAGCACCACAAGGGGUGAAGCCUGCGGUUCAAUUGGAGUCAACGCCAGAAAUCUUACCUGGGGAGACAGCAGAAUGAAGGUCAAGCUGAAGACUUUACCAGACACGCUGAGAGGUGGUGCAUGGCCGUCGCCAGCUCGUGCCGUGAGAUGUCCUGUUAAGUCAGGUAACGAGCGAGACCCCUGCGUCUAGUUGCUACCAUUACUCUCUGGAGCAGUGGAGCGAAUUAGACGGACCGCCACAGUUAAUGUGGAGGAAGGAAGGGGCCACGGCAGGUCAGUAUGCCCCGAAACCCUAGGGCUACACGCGGGCUGCAAUGGUAUUGACAAUGUGUUCCGAAUCCGAAAGGAGGAGGCAAUCAUCAGACAAUAUCUCAGUUAUGACUGAGGGA
rnacentral:rRNA from 1 species